GAGACUUAACGCUAUCCCUGACCCCCACUAACUAAAAAAGCAUAUAAUCAGUUACUCCUCACAAGGCCAGUGCAGAUCUUUCUGCCCAUGGGUUCCAUCCCCCUGCUGUAAUAAAAGCACCAUUUUGCACUGAAAACUGCUCAAAAAUUCUUUCUUGAUCCUUAGCUAGCUCACGGCCCCACAUCAGGACUGUAACAAAAGGCAGAUCAACGAGAGAAAAACAAACAAGUUUAUUGACAUGUUUAUCUUAUGUAUGCAUUGGAGAAACUCGGGGAUGAGUGACUCCAAGUUUUAUUUACAGCCUGGUCUUUGCAAGGAAAGACAUUUUUGGGGAAGUGACAAGAUAAAGGAAAAGGACUUUGGAUCCCCACCGGCAACAAAUUGUGUGAAAGCAACUAUGAGGGAAACAAGUCUCCCUUACCUCCGUUUGCUUCCACAAGAGGCUAUGCCGUACUUCAAAACACUGCAACAUAUGAGCUUCAGAAAGGAGAAGAGAAAAAAAAAAAGAUUUCUGGACAACCAGUCUGUAUAAAAUACCUAGGGCAAUUCUUGGCACCAAAAACGUGUUCACUUUUGGUGCCAUGACUCAGGAUCAGACCUUGUCUUCAGAUUCCCAUUUACCCCAGCCAGGUAAUAAGGCCCUUUGGAGCCUUUUGUGCUCCAUUUCUGGCUGGAAACCCAGGGAUCUAAAGGUGAGUCCUGAUCCUGGUCCUAUAUGUUCCAAACUUUUGUCUGUUGGAAGCAUGGUAAGAAUUUGAUUUUGAUUCUUUCUGAGUUCUUUAGUUGAUUUCCAGUGGUGGAGUUUUGGGGUGUGUGUGUGUGUGUGUGUGUGUGUUUAUUGUUAGACCAUUUGGCUAUCUCUGUAAAUGAAUUAAAUGGUUUAUAGAUAUUUUGUCUCUAUUGAAUGAAAGAUGAUGGAAAAUUGAGUUCAUUACUCUUUUCUAUUUGUUUAUCCAUUUUUCUCCAUUUUGAACUCAAAUCCAUUAAGAAUUUGUAUCCAUUAGGAAGGAAAGAACUCUUUUUAUAUGAAAGUGAGUUUUGUAUUUCUGGGUUUACCCCUAAUGUAUGGACUGAAAUUUUGGAAUUGAAGCUAUAAGUUUUCUAGAUCUAGACGUAUGUUUAUGUGUCUAUAGGUAUGUAAUAUUUUCCUGCCUCCAGAUGGUAUUACUAAAUUAGAUUACAAAAUUUUUAAAUCGAACUCUACUCUAAUUCACAGACCUAAGAUCUUAAAUGGGACUAUUCCUAAAAAUUCUCAAGUAUUGAAAAAAUUAA